UUAGGUUAAGUUAGAAAGGGCGCACGGUGGAUGCCUUGGCACUAGGAGCCGAAGAAGGACGGGACUAACUCCGAUAUGCUCCGGGGAGCUGUAAGUAAGCAUUGAUCCGGAGAUUUCCGAAUGGGGAAACCCACUGUUCGUAAUGGAACAGUAUCCCUGCUUGAAUUCAUAGGGCAGGAGAAGGCACACCCGGGGAACUGAAACAUCUAAGUACCUGGAGGAAGAGAAAGCAAACGCGAUUCCCCGAGUAGCGGCGAGCGAAACGGGAACAGCCCAAACCAGAAGGCUUGCCUUCUGGGGUUGUAGGACACUCUAUACGGAGUUACAAAAGAACGGAGUAGGUGAAGAGGUCUGGAAAGGCCCAUCAGAGAAGGUAACAAUCCUGUAGCCGAAACUUCGUUCUCUCCAGAGUGGAUCCUGAGUACGGCGGAACACGUGAAAUUCCGUCGGAAUCCGGGAGGACCAUCUCCCAAGGCUAAAUACUCCCUAGUGACCGAUAGUGAACCAGUACCGUGAGGGAAAGGUGAAAAGCACCCCGGAAGGGGAGUGAAAGAGAACCUGAAACCGUGUGCCUACAAGUAGUCAGAGCCCGUUUAUGGGUGAUGGCGUGCCUUUUGUAGAAUGAACCGGCGAGUUGCGAUUUCAUGCGAGGUUAAGCCGAAAAGGCGGAGCCGCAGCGAAAGCGAGUCUGAAUAGGGCGCAUGAGUAUGAGGUCGCAGACCCGAAACCAGGUGAUCUACCCAUGUCCAGGGUGAAGGUAAGGUAACACUUACUGGAGGCCCGAACCCACGCACGUUGAAAAGUGCGGGGAUGAGGUGUGGGUAGCGGUGAAAUUCCAAUCGAACCUGGAGAUAGCUGGUUCUCUCCGAAAUAGCUUUAGGGCUAGCCUCAAGGGAAGAGUCUUGGAGGUAGAGCACUGUUUGGACUAGGGGCCCCUCUCGGGUUACCGAAUUCAGACAAACUCCGAAUGCCAAAGACUUAUCCUUGGGAGUCAGACUGCGAGUGAUAAGAUCCGUAGUCAAGAGGGAAACAGCCCAGACCACCAGCUAAGGUCCCCAAGUAUACGUUAAGUGGAAAAGGAUGUGGAGUUGCUUAGACAACCAGGAUGUUGGCUUAGAAGCAGCCACCAUUUAAAGAGUGCGUAAUAGCUCACUGGUCGAGUGACUCUGCGCCGAAAAUGUACCGGGGCUAAACGUAUCACCGAAGCUGUGGAUGGACACCGUANNNNNNNNNNNNNNNNNNNNNNNNNNNNNNNNNNNNNNNNNNNNNNNNNNNNNNNNNNNNNNNNNNNNNNNNNNNNNNNNNNNNNNNNNNNNNUAUGGUGUCCGUGGUAGGAGAGCGUUCUAAGGGCGGUGAAGCAAGACCGGAAGGACUUGUGGAGCGCUUAGAAGUGAGAAUGCCGGUAUGAGUAGCGAAAGAAGGGUGAGAAUCCCUUCCACCGAAUGCCUAAGGUUUCCUGAGGAAGGCUCGUCCUCUCAGGGUUAGUCGGGACCUAAGCCGAGGCCGACAGGCGUAGGCGAUGGACAACAGGUUGAUAUUCCUGUACCACCUCUUCACCAUUUGAGCAAUGGGGGGACGCAGGAGGAUAGGGCAAGCGCACAGUUGGUUGUGCGUCCAAGCAGUUAGGCCGGUGACGAGGCAAAUCCCGUCACCAUCAAGGCGGAGCUGUGACGGCGAGGGAAAUUUAGUACCGAAGUUCCUGAUUCCACACUGCCAAGAAAAGCCUCUAGCGAGGUGAAAGGUGCCCGUACCGCAAACCGACACAGGUAGGCGAGGAGAGAAUCCUAAGGUGAGCGAGUGAACUCUCGUUAAGGAACUCGGCAAAAUGACCCCGUAACUUCGGGAGAAGGGGUGCUCUUUGGGGUGCAUAGCCCUGAGGAGCCGCAGUGAAUAGGCCCAGGCGACUGUUUAGCAAAAACACAGGUCUCUGCGAAGCCGCAAGGCGAAGUAUAGGGGCUGACGCCUGCCCGGUGCUGGAAGGUUAAGAGGAGGGGUUAGCUCACGCGAAGCUCUGAAUUGAAGCCCCAGUAAACGGCGGCCGUAACUAUAACGGUCCUAAGGUAGCGAAAUUCCUUGUCGGGUAAGUUCCGACCCGCACGAAAGGCGUAACGAUCUGGGCACUGUCUCAACGAGAGACUCGGUGAAAUUAUAGUACCUGUGAAGAUGCAGGUUACCCGCGACAGGACGGAAAGACCCCGUGGAGCUUUACUGCAGCCUGAUAUUGAAUUUCGGCACAGCUUGUACAGGAUAGGUAGGAGCCUUUGAACCCGGAGCGCCAGCUUCGGGGGAGGCGUCGGUGGGAUACUACCCUGGCUGUGUUGAACUUCUAACCCGCACCCGUGAUCCGGGUGGGAGACAGUGUCAGGCGGGCAGUUUGACUGGGGCGGUCGCCUCCUAAAAAGUAACGGAGGCGCCCAAAGGUUCCCUCAGAAUGGUUGGAAAUCAUUCGCAGAGUGUAAAGGCACAAGGGAGCUUGACUGCGAGACCUACAAGUCGAGCAGGGACGAAAGUCGGGCUUAGUGAUCCGGUGGUUCCGCAUGGAAGGGCCAUCGCUCAACGGAUAAAAGCUACCCCGGGGAUAACAGGCUUAUCUCCCCCAAGAGUCCACAUCGACGGGGAGGUUUGGCACCUCGAUGUCGGCUCAUCGCAUCCUGGGGCUGUAGUCGGUCCCAAGGGUUGGGCUGUUCGCCCAUUAAAGCGGUACGCGAGCUGGGUUCAGAACGUCGUGAGACAGUUCGGUCCCUAUCCGUCGCGGGCGCAGGAAAUUUGAGAGGAGCUGUCCUUAGUACGAGAGGACCGGGAUGGACGCACCGCUGGUGUACCAGUUGUCUUGCCAAAGGCAUCGCUGGGUAGCUAUGUGCGGACGGGAUAAGUGCUGAAAGCAUCUAAGCAUGAAGCCCCCCUCAAGAUGAGAUUUCCCAUAGCGCAAGCUAGUAAGAUCCCUGAAAGAUGAUCAGGUAGAUAGGUUCGAGGUGGAAGCGUGGCGACACGUGGAGCUGACGAAUACUAAUCGAUCGAGGACUUA
rnacentral:rRNA from 1 species